CCUACGGGAGGCAGCAGUUGGGAAUUUUGCACAAUGGACGAAAGUCUGAUGCAGCAACGCCGCGUGCGGGAUGAAGAUUUUCGGAUUGUAAACCGCUUUUAUUUGGGAGUAACUGUUUGAACGUACCAAAUGAAUAAGCACCGGCUAACUCCGUGCCAGCAGCCGCGGUAAUACGGAGGGUGCAAACGUUGUCCGGAAUUACUGGGCGUAAAGCGCAUGUAGGUGGUCUAAUAAGUGAACGAUUAAAUACCGACGCUUAACGUCGGAAAGGUUAUUCAUACUGUUAGACUCGAGGAAGACAGGGGCAGAUGGAACUUUAAGUGUAGGAGUGAUAUCCGUAGAUAUUUAAAGGAACACCAAUGGCGAAGGCAGUCUGCUGGGUCUUUUCUGACACUGAGAUGCGAAAGUGUGGGGAGCAAACGGGAUUAGAUACCCCGGUAGUCCACACUGUAAACGAUGCUCACUAGGUCUUGGAGGGUAUCGACCCCCUUUUGGACCGAAGCUAACGCGUUAAGUGAGCCGCCUGGGGAGUACGAACGCAAGUUUAAAACUCAAAGGAAUUGACGGCUGAGACCGNGCGAAGCGACGACGAGGGAGUUAG
rnacentral:rRNA from 1 species